UCUGUGUUGGUAAUCCUGUCGAACAGUUCUUUAAAAAAAUAUAUCUAUAUAUCUCUCUCUAUCUAUCUAUAUAUAGCUAAAGCAAUGGAGAAAACACCUGUCUCCAGAUUACAUCUUAAAACUAAGGGCAACCGUAGUAUGGCAUUCCUGACAAGGAGACGCGUCCAUCAUGCAUGAUGAUGUAUACAGGGAAGAUAGCUAGCCACAUUUUCAGAUAUUACAUGUUUCUCAUUUUGACAACAUGUGGUUUCAUUUCGACCUAGAGUAUAUUGGCUGGCUCCCUAGCUGACGUUAUUUGUUUCCCAGAGCCGGUUUCUUUUCUAGUUAGAGCUAGCUAACAUUGAACUAGCUGGUUAGCUCCCAGCACUGUGGCAUUGUUGCCACUUUGUUCAUUGUUGUUUAGCUAGCUAACGUUAGCUGGCUGGCUCGUUAGCUAACGUCUCGUGAUGUGUGUGAUCUUAAACGUUGUUCACCUAGCUAAGUUCAUUGUUAGCCAGCCUGCUAUGUUUCCCAGAGCUGUUUGCUUUUUUAGUUAGAGCCUAAAGUUUCAACACCGGUUGAAUAUGGCCAGCGUCAGUAAACGUCUGCAAAAAAAGCGUAAUGAAAUUGUUGCCAGCAGAGCUAGCCGUUUUCAUGUUAUCCAGAGGCUAUCAGCACUUAUCUCGCAACACCAGCCCUGGCACCACCAACCAAGCACGUUGCCAGGCUACACACCAUUCAGGAUGGGAGGAGGGAAAGGAAGAACAGGGGAGAAGAAGAGAAAAGAGGAAGAGGAGUGAAGUGGAGUCCUAUGCCAGACGUGCCACAGUGACCAGUAUCUAUAGACUGUGGUGCCCAUGUUGGGUCCUUCCCAGGCAGGGGGCGGGUGACCGCUGGCACAGUGAUAAGUAUGAGGCGGGGUGCGACUGGCAUGGAUACCUCCUGCCAACCGGAGAAGGGAUGUGAUCAGGACGACACAGGAAAUCAGGGAGAAUCCUACCCCUGCAAAGGAGUGGGUAGAGGUAGGGUAAAGUAGUGGGAUACAGAGGGACGAGACUCUCUCCUUCAUGCCUCACUGGAGCAUGGCACUGACUGUUACUCUGCUGGAGGCAUGGGACCAGAGAUGGACGACUAAGAGAGACAGCACGAUGGAAGAGAUAUGGAUGGGGAGAUGAAGAGCGAGAGGAGGGAGUGAGAGGGAUAAAGUGGCAAAGGCAGAGAGACCUCAGGAGCAGCUCAGUGCCAUUUUGGAUUUUCUGGCGUGUAGCUGUUUUCCAACGAUGUGGCUUGUUUUUGACCACCAGUUUGUAUUUGCCCUUCAGAAUUUUGAUUUCAUUUAUAAAUGUCACUUAUCUUAGCAGUUAUUAGUCAUAGCCAUGCUGUGGAUUUCCAAUAUAGUAUAAUAACCUUUACGCAUGCACGCGCGCGUAUACACCUGUCCUCCCCCUCCCAACACAUGCAUUAUGAAACACCAACACACACAUCCCUCCAUUGCGGUCCGGACCAGUUAAGGGCGCUGGAGUCGUGGUGAGGUCAGCUCUUUGAAGCCAGUUCUCAGGGUAGAAAAAGGUCAGACAUACGGUGUGCGUGUGCUAGUGUGUCCAAGUGUGUUUGUGAUAGAAAAGGUGAGACAGAAUGGCAGCAAAUGAGUUGUCAUCUCCAGCUCUUAAAUAAUGCAUGGGAAUUGUUGGAGCAUGAACGCUCAGCCACAGACUGUCGGUAGAAGAAAGAGGGAUGGAUGGAUAGAUGGAUUGGAGGGAUCCUCUGCUUUGAAUAGCACAGCACUUUGUAAUAAUUAAAAGCACCAAUGCAUGCAUGAUUCAUGGGGCGCCAGGAAUAUUUAGAGCUACUUACCGUCUGUACACACCCGACAAAAUCACACACACCUUCCUUCUACCCUCAGCCUGUCACUCUUCAAGGACAUUAGUUGAUACAAUGUAGAAGUAUAUUAGAUGUAAUAACCUUUAUAUUUUACAAGACAGGUGAAUAGAGCAGUCUUUUACUACAAUGACCAAAAAUACAAAAGCAACCAUUUCAAAUAUUACAGUUUAUAUAAGGAAAUCUGUCAAUUGACAAAAUCAUUUGGCCCUAAUCUAUGGAUUUCACAUGACUGGACAUACAGAUAUGCAUCUGUUGGUCACAGAUACCUUUAAAAACAAAAAUAGGGGUGUGGAUCUGAAAAGCAGUCAGUAUCUGGUGUGACCACAAUUGGUCUCAUGCAGCGCAGCAUCUCUUUCGCAUAGAGUUGAUCACACUGUUGAUUGUGGCCUGUGGAAUGUUGUACAACUCCUCUUCAAUGGCUGUGCAAAGUUGCUGGCUAUUGGCGGGAACUGGAACUCGCUGUUGAUCCAACGUGAUGGAAGAACUGGGACAUUUUCAGCUUCCAGUAAUUGUGUACCGAUCAUUGCGACAUGGGGGCGUGCAUUAUCAUGCUGAAACAUGCAGAUGAAUGGCACGACAAUGGUUGUCACGAUCUCGUCACGAUAUCUGCGCAUUCAAAUCGCAGUCGAUAAAAUGCAACUGUGUUCGUAGUUCUCUGGCAACAGCUCUGGUUGACAUUCCUACAGUCAGCAUAUCAAUUGCACGCUCCCUCAAAAUAUGAGACGACAUCUGUGGCAUUGUGUUGUGUGACAAAACUACCUUUUAUUGUCCCCAGUUUCUUGAUAUGCCACACCUGUCAGGUAGAUGGAUUAUCUUUGCAAAGGAGAAAUGCUCACUACAGGGAUGUAAACAAAUAUUUGAUUUCAGCUCAUGUAACACGGGACCAACACUUUUCAUGUUGUUUAUAUUUUUUGCUCAGUAUAUGUACGUACACUGACUAAAUAAAAUACAAAGAAAUAA